AGCGAACGCUGGCGGCAGGCCUAACACAUGCAAGUCGAACGGACCCUUCGGGGUUAGUGGCGGACGGGUGAGUAGCACGUGGGAACGUGCCUUUAGGUUCGGAAUAGCUCCUGGAAACGGGUGGUAAUGCCGAAUGCGCCCUUCGGGGGAAAGAUUUAUCGCCUUUAGAGCGGCCCGCGUCUGAUUAGCUAGUUGGUGAGGUAAUGGCUCACCAAGGCGACGAUCAGUAGCUGGUCUGAGAGGAUGACCAGCCACAUUGGGACUGAGACACGGCCCAAACUCCUACGGGAGGCAGCAGUGGGGAAUCUUGCGCAAUGGGCGAAAGCCUGACGCAGCCAUGCCGCGUGGAUGAUGAAGGUCUUAGGAUUGUAAAAUCCUUUCACCGGUGAAGAUAAUGACUGUAGCCGGAGAAGAAGCCCCGGCUAACUUCGUGCCAGCAGCCGCCGUAACAC
rnacentral:rRNA from 1 species